UACGGAGGGUGCAAGCGUUAUCCGGAUUCACUGGGCGUAAAGGGCUCGUAGGCGGCCAACUAAGUCGGAUGUGAAAUCCCCAGGCUUAACCUGGGAACUGCAUCCGAUACUGGAUGGCUUGAAUCCGGGAGAGGGAUGCGGAAUUCCAGGUGUAGCGGUGAAAUGCGUAGAUAUCUGGAGGAACACCGGUGGCGAAGGCGGCAUCCUGGACCGGCAUUGACGCUGAGGAGCGAAAGCCAGGGGAGCAAACGGG
rnacentral:rRNA from 1 species